ensembl:misc_RNA Y_RNA Y RNA
GGCUGGUCCUAAGGUAGUGCGUUAUCAAUUGAUCAAAGUCAGUUACAGAUCAAACUCCUUGAUCUACUCUUUCCUUCUUCUCACUACUGCACUUGACUAGUCCAAA